GCACAGACCAGCACCAUGGAGCUGGGGCUGCGCUGGGUUCUCCUUGUUGCUCUGUUGAAAGGUGUGCAGUGUGAGGUGCAGCUGGUGGAGUCUGGGGGAGGCUUGGUGCAGCCUGGGGGAUCCCUGAGACUCUCCUGUGCAGCCUCGGGAUUCACCUUCAGUAGUUACUACAUGCACUGGGUCCGCCAGGCUCCAGGGAAAGGGCUGGAGUGGGUUGCACGAAUUAAUACAGAUGGUGGUAGCACAUGGUACCCAGACUCUGUGAAGGGCCGGUUCACCAUCUCCAGAGACAACAGCAAGAACACACUUCACCUGCAGAUGAACAGCCUGAGAGUGGAGGACACGGCCAUCUAUUACUGUACUAGAGACACACACUGGGGCCAGGGCACCCUGGUCACCGUCUCCUCAGCAAGCCCAUCCCCCCCAAGCGUCUUCCCCCUCGUGUCCUGCGAGAGCCCCCUGUCCGAUGAGAGCCUGGUGGCCGUGGGCUGCCUGGCACGGGACUUCCUGCCCAGCUCCAUCUCCUUCUCCUGGAAUUACAAGAACAACACCGCCGUGACACAGGGCGUCACCACAUUCCCAACACUGCCGGAGGGGGUCAAGUUCGCGGCCACCUCGCAGGUGCUGCUGCCCUCCCAGGAUGUCCUGCAAGGCACAGACGACUACCUGGUGUGCAAAGUCAAGCAUGGUCAACAAAACCAAGACCUGCGGGUGCCUCUUCCAGAGGUUGGAAACCAGCCCCCCAAUGUGACCGUGUUCAUCCCACCGCGAGACGCCUUCUCUGGCCCCGGCCCACGCAAGUCCAGUCUUAUCUGCCAGGCCACAGGCUUCAGCCCCAAGCAGAUCACAGUGUCCUGGCUACGAGAUGGACGGCCUGUGACGUCCGGCUUCACCACUGAAGAGGUGAGGGCAGAGGCCACCGCCGAGUCCAAGCCCCGCACCUUCAGCAUCACCAGCCAGCUGACCAUCACCGAACUCGAGUGGCUCAGGCAAAGCGUGUUCACCUGCCGUGUGGAUCACCAAGGACUCACUUUUGUGAAGAAUGUGUCAUCCAUGUGCAAUGCUGUUACGUCCACAGACAUCCAAGUCUUCACCACAGCCCCCUCCUUUGCUGACAUCUUCCUCAACAAGUUAGCCAGGCUGUCCUGCCUGGUCACAGACCUGGGCUCCUAUGAAAGCCUGAACAUCUCCUGGACACGCCAGAGCGGCGAGGCCCUGAGAACCGAGACCAAAGACUUCAGCAGCCACCCGAACGGCACGUUCAGCGUCACAGGGGAGGCCAGCGUGUGUGUGGAAGACUGGGAGUCUGGGGAGAGGUUCACGUGCACCGUGACCCACGCGGACCUGCCCUCCCCGGUGAAGCAGACCAUCUUCAAGCACAGAGAUGUGGCCAAGCACCCGCCCGCCGUGUACCUGCUGCCCCCAGCCCGGGAGCAGCUGGCCCUGCGGGAGUCAGCCACAAUCAGCUGCCUGGUGAAGGCCUUCUCUCCCCCGGACGUCUUUGUGCAGUGGCUUCACAGGGGGCGGCCCUUGUCCGAGGACAAGUACGUGACCAGCGCCCCGGUGCCUGAGCCCCAGGCCCCAGGCCUCUACUUCACCCACAGCCUCCUGACGGUGUCCGAGGAGGACUGGAACUCCGGGGAGACCUUCACCUGCGUCGUGGCUCACCAGGCCCUGCCAUACAUGGUGACGGAGAGGACCGUGGACAAGUCCUCUGAGGGAGAGGUGAGCGCCGAGGAGGAGGGCUUCGAGAACCUCUGGACCACGGCCUCCACCUUCAUCGUUCUCUUCCUCCUGAGCCUCUUCUACAGCACCACUGUGACCCUGUUCAAGGUGAAGUGACUUGCCCAGCGAAGGACACUGGACACCAACGGGCUGGACCACAGGACACCACCUCUGGGCUUGGGUGGCUCAGCCUGUGGCUGAUGGACCUGCACCUAACUCUUCCCCAUGUAUCCCUUCAGCUUUGAGCUGUAAAAUCGACUGGCCACAAAGGUCGAGGGGCCUGGCCUGUGGAAAGCCUGCUUACUUCUGUGCUGUGUGCAUAUGUGAGCCAAAAUAAACAGAUACUUUCUGUAAAACCA